GAGCUGAGGUCAGCAGCUCCAGGCCCAAGGGGGUUCAGGGGACUCAACUGACGCCACUGCCAGCUCACGCAAAUGGCCACUCGGGGGCCACACAGCCAGAUAAUUUUCACAAAACUCAGAAGCUACACACUCGCUUUGUCACCAUUACCACUCGACACCCUGCACUGUCCCUGUGGGAGCCCCGUUACAAUGAGACUCUGAGGCUCCUCCAAGAGGUGGCGUCUGCCUCCCCAGCCCUUGAAGCUGGGCUGGCCUCGUGACGUGCUAAUAAAAUUCAGCAAAGUUGACCGAGUGCCAGUUCUAAGCCCAGGCCUUAGGAGGCCUCACCCCGCUUCCUCCCUUGAACCCCUGUCCAGCCACAUGAGAACAAACCCUGCUGGCCUGUGGGCUGGUGCCACGUGGGGUUGGGGAGAGCCUGCUUUCAGCUCAGGAUGUCCUAGCGCAGCUGACAGCUAGCCAGCCCCUGAGCAGGCUGGAGAGCCCAGCCAAGGCCAGCGGAGCCGCCCGCUCACCCUACAGCUGACCUUGAACAUGAGGAAGACCAGAAAAGCUGCCCAGGUGACCCACAGCCUCGUGAGCAAGGCGCCACGCUUGCUUUAUGCCGCUGAGUUUCGGAAUACUUUGUUACCAUCCUGAAUCAGGAGCUGAUGGGGGCAGCCGCAACCUCAACAACCUGCAUCCCUCUCGGGGGCCUCACAUGCACAGGUGCCCUGUGCCCCCUCGGAAGCCCCACACCCCAUGCCACCGUCUGCUGUCCUGUGCUCUCCUUCCAUCUUGGAUGUGACAGGUGACACCCCAUAGCUGAGUCCUCGCAACAACAGAUGGCCUCCACACCCCGGGUUUUCUUCCUCUGUCCCCCAGGGCACACAUGUGGCAAAUGUGACGCUGGGAGGAUUCCAUC
rnacentral:lncRNA from 10 species